CAGCAGCCGCGGUAAUACGAAGGGGGCUAGCGUUGCUCGGAAUGACUGGGCGUAAAGGGCGCGUAGGCGGCGGCCAAAGUCAGGCGUGAAAUUCCUGGGCUCAACCUGGGGGCUGCGUUUGAUACUUGGUUGCUUGAGUGGGGAAGAGGGUCGUGGAAUUCCCAGUGUAGAGGUGAAAUUCGUAGAUAUUGGGAAGAACACCGGUGGCGAAGGCGGCGACCUGGUCCUUUACUGACGCUGAGGCGCGAAAGCGUGGGGAGCAAACAGGAUUAGAUACCCCGGUAGUCCCUGUCUCUUAUAC
rnacentral:rRNA from 1 species